rnacentral:rRNA from 1 species
AUUGAACGCUGGCGGCAGGCUUAACACAUGCAAGUCGAGCGAGCGGCGGACGGGUGAGUAAUGUCUGGGAAACUGCCUGAUGGAGGGGGAUAACUACUGGAAACGGUAGCUAAUACCGCAUACCAUCAGAUGUGCCCAGAUGGGAUUAGCUAGUAGGUGGGGUAAUGGCUCACCUAGGCGACGAUCCCUAGCUGGUCUGAGAGGAUGACCAGCCACACUGGAACUGAGCCACGGUCCAGGCUCCUACGGAAGGCAGCAGUGGGGAAUAUUGCACAAUGGGCGCAAGCCUGAUGCAGCCAUGCCGCGUGUAUUAAGAAGGCCUUAGGGUUGUAAAGUACUUUCAGCGGGGAGGCGUUACCCGCAGAAGAAGCACCGGCUAACUCCGUGCCAGCAGCCGCGGUAAUAC